GCGGGAGGCCUAACACAUGCAAGCCGAGCGGUAUUUGUCUUUCGGGACAGAGAGAGCGGCGUACGAGUGCGGAACACGUGUGCAACCUGCCUUUAUCAGGGGGAUAGCCUUUCGAAAGGAAGAUUAAUACCCCAUAAUAUUUUGGAUGGCAUCAUUUAAAAUUGAAAACUCCGGUGGAUAGAGAUGGGCACGCGCAAGAUUAGAUAGUUGGUAGGGUAACGGCCUACCAAGUCAAUGAUCUUUAGGGGGCCUGAGAGGGUGAUCCCCCACACUGGUACUGAGACACGGACCAGACUCCUACGGGAGGCAGCAGUGAGGAAUAUUGGACAAUGGGUUAGCGCCUGAUCCAGCCAUCCCGCGUGAAGGACGACGGCCCUAUGGGUUGUAAACUUCUUUUGUACAGGGAUAAACCUAUUUACGUGUAAAUAGCUGAAGGUACUGUACGAAUAAGCACCGGCUAACUCCGUGCCAGCAGCCGCGGUAAUACGGAGGGUGCAAGCGUUAUCCGGAUUUAUUGGGUUUAAAGGGUCCGUAGGCGGAUCUGUAAGUCAGUGGUGAAAUCUCACAGCUUAACUGUGAAACUGCCAUUGAUACUGCAGGUCUUGAGUAAGGUAGAAGUGGCUGGAAUAAGUAGUGUAGCGGUGAAAUGCAUAGAUAUUACUUAGAACACCAAUUGCGAAGGCAGGUCACUAUGUCUUAACUGACGCUGAUGGACGAAAGCGUGGGGAGCGAACAGGAUUAGAUACCCUGGUAGUCCACGCCGUAAACGAUGCUAACUCGUUUUUGGGUUUUCGGAUUCAGAGACUAAGCGAAAGUGAUAAGUUAGCCACCUGGGGAGU
rnacentral:rRNA from 1 species